GAACUGCGAUACGUAGUGUGAUCCGCACGUUUCUGUGAAUCAUCAAGUCUUUGAACGCACAUGGCACGCGCGACCUCGGUUGCGCGUAUACCUGUUUGAGAAUCGGGUCCCCAAUACCACCAGGUGUGUGGUGACAUUGACCAUGACCGAGUCUUGGUCCAAAUGCAGACGUGUGGGCUGCGGGAGAGCUGCGGCGCCGUGUGGUACAAGACCCUUGGGUCUAGCGAGCACGGAUGCAACGCCGGGGCGCGAGCGCAGCAUAAAGCACUACCCUACUUCUAUUUUCGAUCUCAAAUCAGGCAAGGCUACCCGCUGAACUUAA
rnacentral:misc_RNA from 1 species